rnacentral:rRNA from 1 species
GACGAACGCUGGCGGCGUGCCUAACACAUGCAAGUCGAACGGAAAGGCCUUGCUUUUGUGGGGUGCUCGAGUGGCGAACGGGUGAGUAACACGUGAGUAACCUGCCUUUGACUGUGGGAUAACUUCAGGAAACUGGGGCUAAUACUGGAUAGGAGCUCCUGCUGCAUGGUGGGGGUUGGAAAGUUUCGGCGGUUGGGGAUGGACUCGCGGCUUAUCAGCUUGUUGGUGGGGUAGUGGCUUACCAAGGCUUUGACGGGUAGCCGGCCUGAGAGGGUGACCGGCGACAUGAGGACUGAGAUACGGCACAGACUAGUACGGGAGGCAGCAGUGGGGAAUCUAGCACAAUGGAGCGAAGCCUGAUGCAGCAACGCCGCGUGCGGGAUGACAGCCUUCGGGUUGUCAACCGCUUUCGCCUGUGACGAAGCGUGAGUGACGGUAAUGGAAGAAGAAGCACCGGCUAACUACGUG